rnacentral:rRNA from 1 species
GAUGAACGCUGGCGGCGUGCUUAACACAUGCAAGUCGAACGAUGAAGCCCAGCUUGCUGGGUGGAUUAGUGGCGAACGGGUGAGUAACACGUGAGUAACCUGCCCUUGACUCUGGGAUAAGCCUGGGAAACUGGGUCUAAUACUGGAUAUGACUUCUCAUCGCAUGGUGGGGGGUGGAAAGAUUUAUUGGUCUUGGAUGGACUCGCGGCCUAUCAGCUUGUUGGUGAGGUAAUGGCCCACCAAGGCGACGACGGGUAGCCGGCCUGAGAGGGUGACCGGCCACACUGGGACUGAGACACGGACCAGACUCCUACGGGAGGCAGAAGUGGGGAAUAUUGCACAAUGGGCGCAAGCCUGAUGCAGCGACGCCGCGUGAGGGAUGACGGCCUUCGGGUUGUAAACCUCGUUCAGUAGGGAAGAAGCGAGAGUGACGGUACCUGCAGAAGAAGCGCCGGCUAACUACGUG